GGUAGUCCCUAACAGGAAACUANCGAAAGGGAAGCUGGUUAAUAUUCCAGCACCUCGUGUGUUUUGCCGCACAAUUAGACUUUGGGAUAUUGGAAGUACGGGUGACAACGUACCUGCAGAUAUAAGGGGGUGGAGAAUCGUAAUGAUGAGAAGCCGGGGAAAGCCUGUGGGUCCCCCUAUGGGGAUUUCUUAGAUUUCUGGAGUCUGUGAAAAGGUUGUGCGGGUCAAGCACGAGAUCGUACCAAGAACCGACACAGGUGCCCCUGGAUGAGAAGUCCAAGGCGUUUGGGAAUAAUGGACGCGAGGGAACUCGGCCAAAUAGCUCCGUAUCUUAGGUAGAAGGAGUGCCUAUUCCGGGAGGGAAUAGGUCGCAGUGGCAAGGGGACCCCGACUGUUUACCAAAAACACAGAUCGCUGCUAGUUCGUAAGGAUGUGUAUAGCGGUUGAAACCUGCCCAGUGUCGGUACCUGAAAAUCCCGUACAAGGGAAAGAAGGGCCGAUAAACGGCGGGGGUAACUAUGACCCUCUUAAGGUAGCGUAAUACCUAGCCGCUUAAUUGGCGGCUUGCAUGAAGGUUCAACGUGAGUCCCACUGUCCCCGCGUUCAGCCCCGUGAAAUUGAUGCACUGGUGCACAAUCCAGUCUCUCCCACGUGAAAGCGAAGUCCCCGUGGAGCUUUACUGCAGCCUGUAGCUGUAAUACGGUGCUUAAUGCGUAGAGUAGGAAGGAGCCGUCGAUGCCUGGGUUCUGGCUCAGGUGGAGGCAACGAUGAAACACUUCCCUUUAGGUACUGAAUUACUAACCUCGAAAGAGGGACAACUAUUGGUGGGCAGUUUGGGUGGGGCGCCACGCCCCCGAGAAUUUAACAGGGGCCCCCAAAGGUUAGCUCAGGAGGGUCAGCAAUCCUCCGUAGAGUGUAAGGGCAAAAGCUAGCUUGACUGGGUUCCGGGCAAUAAGGAACGCAGAUGCGAAAGCAGGGCCUAACGAACCACCCUGUCCCCCUUUAGUGGGGGCGGGUGAUAAGAGAGAAGUUACCCCAGGGAUAACUGAGUUGUCCUCGGCAAGAGUUCAUAUCGACCCGAGGGUUUGCUACUUCGAUGUCGUCUGUUCCUAUCCUGGUGCUGAACAAGGUGCCAAGGGUGGGGCUGUUCGCCCAUUAAAAGGGAUCCUGAGAUGGGUUCACUACGUCGCGAGACAGUAGGGUUGCUUCUCCGUGGGAGUGCUCGAUGUCUGAAGGGAAGGAGCCUUUAGUACGAGAGGAACGGGGGUUCGUGACCUCUGGUUUGCCGGUUGUCUGUCAAGGCAUUGCCGGGUAGCCACGUCAUACGCGAAUAAAAGCUGAAAGCAUCUAAGCUUGAAGUCGCCCCUGAAAAUAGACAUCGUCAUUCAGGUCUCUCCUAGAAGAGGAGUUUGAUAGAACUGGGAUGUAAGUGCCAAGCUUCGGCGAGGCAUUAAGUCUACAGUCACUAAUAGACCGAAUGCACAAUC
rnacentral:rRNA from 1 species